CCAGGAGUGAUUUAUCCGAAAUGGUAAUCCACAUCUACCAUUUGAAAUAGAUAGUCAGCGUAAUAUAUGCACAUCCAUGCACUAGAACAUUCACCUUCCAAUUCCUAUAUCGCUGUCAACAAAUAAAUAGACAUGGCCCAAAAGUUGAGAAGCGGCUGUACUCUUCUGUUUGUUUUAUCCACGUUCGGCCUGAAUGCACUAUAUAUAGAUUUAUGUGCAUGGAUGAUCGGGUGCAUGUCACUUACAU
rnacentral:lncRNA from 1 species